CUACGGGUUGCAGCAGUCGAGAAUCUUCCGCAAUGCGCGAAAGCGUGACGGAGCAAUGCCGCGUGGUGGAUGAAGGCCUUAGGGUUGUAAACACCUGUCACAUGGGACGAAUUUUGACGGUACCAUGAGAGGAAGCCACGGCUAACUACGUGCCAGCAGCCGCGGUAAUACGUAGGUGGCGAGCGUUGUUCGGAUUUAUUGGGCGUAAAGGGUCCGCAGGGGGUUUGCUAAGUCUGAUGUGAAAUCCCAAGGCUCAACCUUGGAACUGCAUUGGAAACUGGCGAACUAGAGUAUCGGAGAGGUAAAUGGAAUUCCUGGUGUAGCGGUGGAAUGCGUAGAUAUCAGGAAGAACACCGAGAGCGAAGGCAAUUUACUGGACGAUCACUGACCCUCAGGGACGAAAGCGUAGGUAGCGAACAGGAUUAGAUACCCGCGUAGUC
rnacentral:rRNA from 1 species